GCGCUGGCCUGCUUGUUGCCAGAUACUCGCCAGUCAGGUCAGUAACCUCACUCUAGCCGGCGUCUUCCCAGUGUCUGCAUGUUGGAGGGGAAGUGAGGCUGGCUGGAGAUUACCUGCCUGUGACGGUCUAGUGGUGUUGGUGGCAGUGUCGUCUGCCUGCCUCGUGUCCUUCACCGCUGGCUGGCUUCACAUUGUGGUGGUGAGAAAAGUGUGGGAGAACAUGGAGGAGAAAAGUGUGGGAGAACAUGGAGGAGGAAUAGUAGAUAGAAGAGAGGAAUAACAGUAGGAGGAAGACUAUAUCACCGCUACUACUAAACGACGAGAGGAAGGAGAGAGAGAACAGUAGGAGGAAGACUACUAUCACCGCUACUACUAUAUAUAUAUAUAUAUAUACCCUGCAUAAGACUCGCGUGUCUUGCCCCGAGUCGCUACAGCGUUACAAGUCCUAGACUGCACAUAUCACAGUAGUAGUACCAGUACAAUUUUUUUUUUUUUUUUUUUUUUAACAGCGAAAGUUGUUCUGUUUGUCUCCGGAGAGUCUUCGAGGUAUCUCUAGAAUUCGGACAAUUCCACCCUCUUCCUUCCACAAUACUGCUGGUGGUUGUGUGGACUGAUUUCCUCCACCCACUUGGUGAGAAUAGUCUGAAACGAGAAAAACAAAGGCAGAUGUAAAUAAAAUAAAAAUAUUUCUCAAAAUUGUUUAUACAUAUUCAUUUAUCUUUUACUUAUGAGCUCCCUCAAAAUUGUUUAUACAUACUUUUAAAUGUACUUUUUACUUACCUUAGCUCAGUAAUUCCAAAUAUUUUUAUUACCUUCCGCCCCAACCUGAGAUAGGUGAGGUUAGUUUGACCUCAUACCUUUUUC